rnacentral:rRNA from 1 species
CCUACGGGUGGCAGCAGUGGGGAAUAUUGGGCAAUGGGCGCAAGCCUGACCCAGCAACGCCGCGUGAAGGAAGAAGGCUUUCGGGUUGUAAACUUCUUUUCUCAGGGACGAAUCAAGUGACGGUACCUGAGGAAUAAGCCACGGCUAACUCCGUGCCCGCCGCCGCGGUCAUACGUAGGUGGCAAGCGUUAUCCGGAUUUACUGGGUGUAAGGGGCGUGUAGGCGGGACUGCACGUCAGAUGUGAAAACCAUGGGCUCAAGCUAUGGCCUGCAUUUGAAACUGUAGUUCUUGAGUACUGGAGAGGCAGACGGAAUUCGUAGUGUAGCGGUGAAAUGCGUAGAUAUUAGGAGGAACACCAGUGGCGAAGGCGGUCUGCGGGACAGCAACUGACGCUGAGGCGCGAAAGCGUGGGGAGCAAACAGGAUUAGAUACCCUUGUAGUC